UACGGAGGGAGCUAGCGUUGUUCGGAAUUACUGGGCGUAAAGCGCACGUAGGCGGCUUUGUAAGUUAGAGGUGAAAGCCCGGAGCUCAACUCCGGAACUGCCUUUAAAACUGCAUCGCUUGAAUCCAGGAGAGGUGAGUGGAAUUCCGAGUGUAGAGGUGAAAGUCGUAGAUAUUCGGAAGAACACCAGUGGCGAAGGCGACUGACUGGACAAGUAUUGACGCUGAGGUGCGAAAGCGUGGGGAGCAAACAGG
rnacentral:rRNA from 1 species